AUGAAGUCUUACACUCCAUAUUUCAUGCUCCUGUGGAGUGCUGUUGGAAUAGCAAGGGCUGCUAAAAUCAUCAUUGUGCCGCCAAUUAUGUUUGAAAGCCAUUUGUACAUUUUCAAGACACUAACAUCGGCCUUGCACGAGAGAGGCCACCACANUGUGCUUCUCCUCUCAGAAGGCAGAGACAUUGCCCCAUCUAAUCACUACAGCNUCCAGCGAUACCCAGGGAUCUUCAACAGUACCACCUCAGAUGCUUUCCUGCAGUCUAAAAUGCGGAAUAUUUUUUCUGGGAGAUUGACAGCAGUUGAACGGGUUGACAUACUGGAUCACUAUACUAAGAAUUGUGACAUGAUGGUUGGCAACCAAGCCCUAAUCCAGGGUUUAAAAAAAGAAAAGUUUGACCUGCUCCUGGUUGACCCCAAUGAUAUGUGUGGAUUUGUGAUCACCCAUCUUUUAGGCGUUAAGUAUGCUGUAUUUUCUACAGGCCUUUGGUACCCUGCUGAAGUAGGAGCUCCUGCUCCUUUAGCUUAUGUCCCAGAGUUUAACUCGCUCCUCACAGACCGCAUGAACUUCCUGGAAAGGAUGAAAAAUACUGGUGCUUACCUCAUAUCCAGAAUAGGGGUUAGCUUUCUGGUUCUUCUGAAAUACGAGAGGAUAAUGCAGAAGUACAACCUGCUGCCUGCAAAGUCCAUGUAUGAUUUGGUUCAUGGGUCCAGCCUAUGGAUGUUAUGUACUGACGUAGCAGCACUGGAGUUUCCCAGAACCACGCUGCCUGUUGGAGGCAUCCUAACAAAGCCGGCCAGCCCACUGCCAGAAGAUCUGCAGAGGUGGGUAAAUGGUGCUCGGGAACAUGGCUUUGUCCUGGUGUCUUUUGUAGCUGGUGUCAAGUAUCUGUCAGAAGACAUUGCCAACAAACUGGCAGGAGCUUUGGGGAGAUUGCCUCAAAAAGUGAUUUGGAGAUUUGGAGAUUUGGAGACAUCAACAGGGCUCCCAGCUGCUGUAGGACAUCCACAUGAACCUUGGGCUUCAACACGGUACAGGCAAACAAUAUGUUGA